AAACCAUGAUGAGGGCAUUGAGAACAAUAGCCCUUGAAUCUCUCCCAUGCUUCACUGAAGCUCUCUAGACCUUUAUGUUGAAACCCAGAGAUUUCAUUCCUGAUCUU
rfam:Brassica napus, WGS project CCCW01000000 data, contig: 13234